rnacentral:misc_RNA from 1 species
UUUUCACAGGUCCUGUGACAAGACACGUAGCGCGCUGCGCGGUAAACGUCACUCUCAGGGCAGGUUGCGUCACUGUUUCACACGAAUUCACUACCCUUAUUUUUUAACCGACUUCAUAAAAAGGAGGAAGUUCUCAAUUCUACUGCAUUUUUCAUGUAUGUUACCUCAGAAUUUUUUACUAGAUGGACUGAUUUUGAUGAUGAUUUGGAUUCUUUUUUUAAUGGAAAGGUGGUAUUUGUCAUGUCGUCCCUUUUAAAUUUAAUCGAGAUCUGACAAGUAUUUUUCGAGUUACAUCUUAUAAUGCGUAUUUACUUUUUUCUAUUUUUCGCCUACUUCUUUCUACUUUCUUGUUACUAUUUUUUUUUGCUUACUUAUAUUGUACUUGAUAAAAAUAUACAAUCAAAUUGAGACCCUCCGACCUCCUCCUUUUUUGGAAGUCACUUAGGUUAAAUCACUUAUUUACGAUCGCACGAUUAAACUAUUGAAUUCUUGAGUAAGGAAUCAAUUCGAUACGCUGCAAGCAUUCCAAAGAUUCAAAUCAUAAUCCUUUCCGCGUCGAAUUGUUAAUUAUACUAAUUGGUCUAUGCGGUAGGUAAGUCCCGAAUUCUCUUAAUUUCAUUUUAAUUAGACAAGCUAGAAAAUAUUAAUUCAGUAAAAUGUUUUAUAUUUCCUAAUUUAGAAUUUUCAGUUAUUUAUUUAUGUAGCCAAAUAAACUCACUGAUUGUUUUCUAAUGCUUACGCAAAUUUCAAUCAUUAUGUAGAAACUUUUUCGCAUUCUUUACAGCAACCAUGGUCACGGGAGGUCCUCCCGUAAAAUCCGAAAAAGUUGUUUCAUUAUAAUAAACUCACUUAUGUUAAUAAACCUACCCCAUAUUACACAGAUUUAAUACCAACUUUAAUAUUAUUUAAAAAAAUUGAGACAAACACAUUAAAAAUGAUGGUUAUACUAUUGUAUUUUCGAUAUAUUAAAAAACAGCAAGGUGUCUUUGUAACAAGUUUAUAUUAUUGUAUUGAAAUAGAUCAAAUUUAUAGAAUUUAUGUUUUUUUUUUAAAUUUAAUUUAUAGGAAAUAACAAGACAUACGUGUAUAUUAUCGUUCUAGACCAUUUAUUUUCAUAUUCCACGAACAAACAUUUUUAAUACUAUUGAACGCUUAAAAUUAAUAUAAUAGCACCCACACUAUAGCCUGUCCUUCUACGAAAAUUUCGAAUAUCCGUAUGAGAAUUCCUAGUAUCACUAUGGUCUCAUCAUGCUAAUGAUAUUAUUUCGAAGUAAUUGUGCAUAGGAAACAAUUCAGAGAAUAGUCAGAAAACAAAAAAUUCUAAACUAUUAUUAAAGGAAUUGUAUUAGUUUUUAUAAAAAUAACUAUCUUCCAUUUCUUAAUUGUAAGCUGAAUAAUAAACUUAGUAAUAUUAUGUAUAUAAUGUAUAUUUUAAU